AUUCGGAUCAUGCCACUCAUAGGCAUAAAUUGCUUUGCCGGUGGUCUUGAGCGGACCGUCGAUGCGGGUGA
rnacentral:sRNA from 1 species